rnacentral:rRNA from 1 species
UACAGGACGAACGCUGGCGGCGUGCUUAAUACAUGCAAGUCAACUUGACUUUAGAUAGCAAUAUCGAAAAGUAGGGUGGCGCACGGGUGCGUAACGCGUAGGUAAUCUGCCCUGAGGUCUGACAUAACCCGUCGAAAGGCGGGCUAACAUCAGAUGAUAUAUAAUCACGACAUCGUGGAAAUAUCAAAUCUUCGGAGCCUUGGGAUGAGCCUGCGUCUGAUUAGGUAGUUGGCGGAGUAAUAGCCCACCAAGCCUACGAUCAGUAGCUGGUCUGAGAGGAUGAUCAGCCACACUGGAACUGAGACACGGUCCAGACUCCUACGGGAGGCAGCAGUAAGGAAUAUUGCUCAAUGGGGGAAACCCUGAAGCAGCAACGCCGCGUGAAGGAUGAAAUACUUUGUAUGUAAACUUCUGUAAGAUGGGAAAAUAUUCUCCUCGGGAGAAUUGAUUGUACCAUCAGAGUAAGCCCCGGCUAACUACGUG